AAGGAGCAUGCGCAGGCAACUGGCUUCUCCACCGAGCAUGUGCGGGGUCGGAACUGAGCAUGCUCCGCCUGCUCCUGGCUUGAAUGUUGAUUGGUUGGAAGCUGAGAGAAAGCCACGUGAGGACGGAAUCUAAAUGGAAGUUGCCAACUGAGGACCUUUUCAGAAGCAGAAUGAAUGCAAGUGAUUCACCCUGUCAUUCCAAUAUCUUGAAAAAAAGAAAAAAGUGAAUAUACUUUCUGCAAUCAAAAAUGUCAAGGUACAAUGUUGUAAGGACAAAAGCUACAAAGGUCCAACCUAAUUCCUCACAGUAAAAGUGAUGUAUAACUAAAGGCAUUUUUCGGUUACGUUCCUAUUCUUCUAAAAGGAGAAAAAUAAGAGUGGGAAGAAAGUGAUCCAGUCUCAGCCAGCUAGCAUCCACACUGCAAGGAUAUCUGUCUAUAUUAUUCUAAAAUAAAAAUAAUAAUCUGAAGUAACUA